rnacentral:rRNA from 1 species
UCUCGUUGGUGAACAGCGGAGGGAUCAUUA